ACAGUGACCCAGCAAGCAGGUGGCACCUUGCACACCCAGGAUCCUGAGUCCUGCACCCACAACAGCCUUGCAGGUUUGCAGGCAGGAGAGAGGCCUUCCCUGGAGAAACGUAGAGCAAGCAACUGAAUGGAGUGAUAAUUCACAGAGAAAAAAAAUUGCCAUGGUAUGGCUGCAUGCAGGCACCUGGAUUCAGGUUACUGACAUCUACAUGAGGUAUUCCUAUGGGGCUUGAAAUCUAGUCUGGAUAAGCGGUAAAAUAUUUCAACUAAGGUGCUGGCAUCAAAAUUCAGAUUGUUUGGAUAUCAAAAGUCUGAGGCUGAAUUAUAACACCAGAGAGAUAUCAUCCAGGUAUUUUUCAGAGGUCUCAGGGAGAGAUUCACCUAGACUUUCUAGACACAGAUGUGGUCAGUGUGACCACAUUACUUCCAGGACAUCAACAAUAUCUACAUAAAAAUUACCA